UACGUAGGGUGCAAGCGUUAAUCGGAAUUACUGGGCGUAAAGCGUGCGCAGGCGGCUUCUCAAGUCAGAUGUGAAAUCCCCGGGCUUAACCUGGGAACUGCGUUUGAAACUGGGAGGCUAGAGUGCGGCAGAGGGGGGUGGAAUUCCACGUGUAGCAGUGAAAUGCGUAGAUAUGUGGAGGAACACCGAUGGCGAAGGCAGCCCCCUGGGCCAGCACUGACGCUCAUGCACGAAAGCGUGGGGAGCAAACAGG
rnacentral:rRNA from 1 species